ensembl:snoRNA T27A8.8 ncRNA
CUGGCAACAUGGUCAAGUGUGGUAAAGCACUCGACCGUGGAGUCAACAGUCGAGGGUUCAAUCCCCUCACCGAACCAAGGUGGUUCUGAGUUGCUCACAUGCUCAGAUAAGUGGAAGUUCGGAAGAUUGAUGAUCAAAAAGGUGGUGUUGAAUCUUAUUGUUUCAU